CGUAGGGUGCGAGCGUUAAUCGGAAUCACUGGGCGUAAAGCGUGCGCAGGCGGUUAUAUAAGACAGAUGUGAAAUCCCCGGGCUCAACCUGGGAACUGCAUUUGUGACUGUAUAGCUAGAGUACGGCAGAGGGGGAUGGAAUUCCGCGUGUAGCAGUGAAAUGCGUAGAUAUGCGGAGGAACACCGAUGGCGAAGGCAAUCCCCCUGGGCCUGUACUGACGCUCAUGCACGAAAGCGUGGGGAGCAAAACAGGAUUAGAUACCCUGGUAGUCCACGCCCUAAACGAUGUCAACUGGUUGUUGGGUCUUCACUGACUCAGUAACGAAGCUAACGCGUGAAGUUGACCGCCUGGGGAUACGGCGCAAGGUUG
rnacentral:rRNA from 1 species